ensembl:lncRNA
CUCCCUCCCGAAGGAGUCUCCUCUCUGGAGGGGCUGCCCGGGCGCAGAGAUCUCUCUUGUUCCCAGAGUCCUGCGGGGGAGCUUGGAACGUAUUUUCUAACGGAAAAAAGGUUAGGUAGAGAAGUUUGUUAGUCACAGCUAACCCACGUGGGGAAGGGUUUGUUUCUCGAAAAUGGAUAAGACAGUAGAAGUAUCAUAGAACCCUCCACCGAGAGGUGAGGCCAGCGCAGAGGGUAGAAGCCGAGGGAAAGAGGAAGGUUUCCUGAGAUGCUUGGUUACAAUCGUAAACCAGCCCGGCCCUGACCGUGGCCCUCCCCCAGCUCGGGCCCGGAGCUUCCUGAGCAGCGGCUGCUCCCGGAGCUGCACCAGCCCCGAGUCUGCGGAGGCCGAGGCCUGGGGGAGAGUUCUUCGGGCUUCAUAUUCCGUGUGGGAGAAUCGCAAACCUCCACCUCCUUCCUCACCAGCUGAGACUUUCUCACACCCAGGCCGCUGCUCCGAGGCAGAGGGUCUCCAGGUGACCCAAAGGACAAGGGGAGGCCCUCUCCCCACCCUUCAGGAGGACACCACAGAGCUCUGGCUGCAGGUCCUGGUGUUUUCACAACAAAUCUACCAACUGUGGACAGGUCACGGCUCGACUCUCUGAGGACUCAGCGCUAAAGACCCAAGACGCACCAGGGGAGAUGGCUCGAGGUUCACUCGCAGAGGAAGAAUUAGAAUAAGAGCUGCCGUGGGGAGGAAGAACGCAGCGCAGGGCACUGAGGGCACACUGGCCGGACCCUUCCGGCCCAGGAGGACUUUUUAAAGCUUUCAGCCUUCCACGUCUGACCCGAUAAUAUCUAAACAUUUAUACUCAGAAAUGGACUUACAGACAUGAAUAUUGUGGUAAAGAGAAAAGGAAUGAUCUUUGGGGAAUUAACAGCAAAGUUUUAGGGCUACACUUAACAUUACAGGAAUAAAAUUACAUAGAAAUUUGAUUUAUUAAUAAAAGACUAUACUUCACGUUUUAAAAGUUAAAAAGAAUAAGUAUCCACAAAUGUAAGGGUAAUUCAAUGCUUGCUGUCUUAAGGCACAUCUUCAAGUGGCUAUUUAUCUCCAAAGACAAAUUAAGCUACUUUCUUCAUUAUUCUGGAUAUACAGCCCACAUUGGAAAACGUCUGUGUUAGGUUUUUCAAAUAAAGGAAAAUAAACCCUUCAAACAGUUUAGUGGAAGUUGGGAAGCGCGCUUACUCAGUCCCCUUCAAAAGGAGUAACCCUCGGCCCGCCUGUCCAUUCUCAGUAUGACUCUAACGAAUCCUCCUAUAUUUAUCUCCCAUCCAAAAGCGUUUUUCUUCCUUUAAUUAUAUCUUUCGCCUGUUUCCCAGGUCCGGGACUGCUGAUGGGGUCCAUCAUAGGGCAGGAUCAUUUUUACGGCUUGUGGUUCGUCCUGCACCAAACUGUCCUCUGAUGGAAUCACGAGUUUCACCCAGUCCUGGAACGUUGUCGUGAACCAAGUUCCUUCACAGUCUGGCCAGAAAUGGAGGCCAGGACAUUUUGCACAGUUACAGGAAACUGCACAAAACAUAGAUACAGCUUAAUGAAGUAGCACAAGGCGAACACCGUUGCCGCCACCAGC